UUGCAAUUGAUACUGUUGAUUCACAUGAAUGUGAAAAUAACAGCUUAAAUCCAAGAACCAAGAAGACAAUGAUUACUUCACUAAAGUUAAAGUGAUAAUCAAAGGUCUUUUUCAGACUAUUUCCUGGUCUUUUUGGUCAAUUAAUUGUAGAAUUUUUUUAAAUGAACUGAAUUUGUAAUUUGGUCAUUGCUGAGUUGUUUGCACAUGUGGUAGCUUCCCUUUGUACACAAGCAUUCCUCUAUGUACAAAAUAGCAGAUAAUGUUAAGUCUCGUAUCUUUUUUUUUCUUCUUCUUCUUUUUGAGAUGGAGUCUUGCUCUGUUGCCGGGCUGGAGUACAGUGGCGCCAUUUCGGCUCACUGCAAGCUCUGCCUCCCGGGUUCAAGCAAUUCCCCUGCCUCAGCCUCCCAAGUAGCUGGGACUACAGGCGUAUGCCACCACACCCGGGCAACAUACCCAGUGGCUUACUCUCUAUUGAAAGAUUAACUUGAUAUUUAAAACUUGACUCUGUGCCUGGCUUAUUUCACUUAACAAAACGACCUCCGGUUCCAUCCAUGUUGUUGCAAGUAACAGGACCUCAUUCUUUUUUUAUGUCUGAACAGUACCCCAUUG
rnacentral:lncRNA from 1 species